rnacentral:rRNA from 1 species
GACGAACGCUGGCGGCGUGCUUAACACAUGCAAGUCGAACGGAAAGGCCCUGCUUUUGUGGGGUGCUCGAGUGGCGAACGGGUGAGUAACACGUGAGUAACCUGCCCUUGACUUUGGGAUAACUUCAGGAAACUGGGGCUAAUACCGGAUAGGAGCUCCUGCUGCAUGGUGGGGGUUGGAAAGUUUCGGCGGUUGGGGAUGGACUCGCGGCUUAUCAGCUUGUUGGUGGGGUAGUGGCUUACCAAGGCUUUGACGGGUAGCCGGCCUGAGAGGGUGACCGGCCACAUUGGGACUGAGAUACGGCCCAGACUCCUACGGGAGGCAGCAGUGGGGAAUAUUGCACAAUGGGCGGAAGCCUGAUGCAUCAACGCCGCGUGCGGGAUGACGGCCUUCGGGUUGUAAACCGCUUUCGCCUGUGACGAAGCGUGAGUGACGGUAAUGGGUAAAGAAGCACCGGCUAACUACGUGCCAGCAGCCGCGGUGAUACGUAGGGUGCGAGCGUUGUCCGGAUUUAUUGCGCGUAAAGGGCUCGUAGGUGGUUGAUCGCGUCGGAAGUGUAAUCUUGGGGCUUAACCCUGAGCGUGCUUUCGAUACGGGUUGACUUGAGGAAGGUAGGGGAGAAUGGAAUUCCUGGUGGAGCGGUGGAAUGCGCAGAUAUCAGGAGGAACACCAGUGGCGAAGGCGGUUCUCUGGGCCUUUCCUGACGCUGAGGAGCGAAAGCGUGGGGAGCGAACAGGCUUAGAUACCCUGGUAGUCCACGCUGUAAACGGUGGGUACUAGGUGUGGGGUCCAUUCCACGGGUUCCGUGCCGUAGCUAACGCUUUAAGUACCCCGCCUGGGGAGUACGGCCGCAAGGCUAAAACUCAAAGGAAUUGACGGGGCCCCGCACAAGCGGCGGAGCAUGCGGAUUAAUUCGAUGCAACGCGUAGAACCUUACCUGGGUUUGACAUGGAUCGGGAGCGCUCAGAGAUGGGUGUGCCUCUUUUGGGGUCGGUUCACAGGUGGUGCAUGGCUGUCGUCAGCUCGUGUCGUGAGAUGUUGGGUUAAGUCCCGCAACGAGCGCAACCCUUGUUCACUGUUGCCAGCACGUUAUGGUGGGGACUCAGUGGAGACCGCCGGGGUCAACUCGGAGGAAGGUGGGGAUGACGUCAAGUCAUCAUGCCCCUUAUGUCCAGGGCUUCACGCAUGCUACAAUGGCUGGUACAGAGAGUGGCGAGCCUGUGAGGGUGAGCGAAUCUCGGAAAGCCGGUCUCAGUUCGGAUUGGGGUCUGCAACUCGACCUCAUGAAGUCGGAGUCGCUAGUAAUCGCAGAUCAGCAACGCUGCGGUGAAUACGUUCCCGGGGCU